CUACGGGUCGCUGCAGUAAGGAAUAUUGCGCAAUGGAGGCAACUCUGACGCAGCCAUGCCGCGUGCAGGAAGAAGGCCUUAUGGGUCGUAAACUGCUUUUAUUUAGGAAUAAACCCCCGAACGUGUUCGGGGCUGAAGGUACUAAACGAAUAAGCACCGGCUAACUGCGUGCCAGCAGCCGCGGUAAUACGGAGGGUGCAAGCGUUAUCCGGAUUUAUUGGGUUUAAAGGGUGCGCAGGCGGGCUAUUAAGUCAGUGGUGAAAUCCCGGGGCUCAACUCCGGAACUGCCAUUGAUACUGAUAGUCUUGAGUUUGGUUGAAGUGGGCGGAAUGUAGCAUGUAGCGGUGAAAUGCAUAGAUAUGCUACAGAACACCAAUCGCGAAGGCAGCUCACUAAGCCAAAACUGACGCUCAUGCACGAAAGCGUGGGGAUCAAACAGGAUUAGAUACCCCCGUAGUC
rnacentral:rRNA from 1 species